rnacentral:rRNA from 1 species
CCUACGGGAGGCAGCAGUGAGGAAUAUUGGUCAAUGGACGAGAGUCUGAACCAGCCAAGUAGCGUGAAGGAUGACUGCCCUAUGGGUUGUAAACUUCUUUUAUAUGGGAAUAAAAUGUUCCACGUGUGGGAUUUUGUAUGUACCAUAUGAAUAAGUAUCGGCUAACUCCGUGCCAGCAGCCGCGGUAAUACGGAGGAUCCGAGCGUUAUCCGGAUUUAUUGGGUUUAAAGGGAGCGUAGGUGGAUUGUUAAGUCAGUUGUGAAAGUUUGCGGCUCAACCGUAAAAUUGCAGUUGAAACUGGCAGUCGUGAGUACAGUAGAGGUGGGCGGAAUUCGUGGUGUAGCGGUGAAAUGCUGAGAUAUCACGAAGAACUCCGAUUGCGAAGGCAGCUCACUGGACUGCAACUGACACUGAGGCUCGAAAGUGUGGGUAUCAAACAGGAUUAGAUACCCCUGUAGUC